GUACUACUCCCUCCGUUCGAAAAUACUUUCAUCGAAAUAGUUGUAUUUAGACUUAUUUUAAUUAUAGAUAUAUCCAUUUUAUUUAUUUUUGAGGAUAAGUAUUUUCGGACGGAGGGAGUAGGCA
rfam:Triticum aestivum genome assembly, contig: Triticum_aestivum_CS42_TGACv1_scaffold_093055_2AL